rnacentral:rRNA from 1 species
UACGUAGGGUGCAAGCGUUGUCCGGAAUUAUUGGGCGUAAAGAGCUCGUAGGCGGCUUGUCGCGUCGGCUGUGAAAACCUGGGGCUCAACCCCGGGCCUGCAGCCGAUACGGGCAAGCUAGAAUUCGGUAGGGGAGACUGGAAUUCCUGGUGUAGCGGUGAAAUGCGCAGAUAUCAGGAGGAACACCGGUGGCGAAGGCGGGUCUCUGGGCCGAUAUUGACGCUGAGGAGCGGAAGCGUGGGGAGCGAACAGG